GCUCCGGUGGCCUAGUGGUUAGUGUCCACCUCGGAUGUGGGAGGUCUUGGUUCGAACCCUGGCCGAGUCA